AUGAAAAGAGGAGGAAGUAAGUUCGGUUUCAUUCACCUGUACUUGUCCCCCCUCAUCAACUGGGCUGCAAGGAUCACUAACACGUUUCUUCUUUACUGAAGUCACAAGUGUGGGGUGAAAGAAUGUCGAAACGGAAAGAAGACUCUCCGUCUGCUGCUGUUGAAGCAACAUCACAAUGUGCUACAACUCAGAUAGAAGCAGCAAGCACAACAAUCACCGUCCAGGAUGGAUCUAUCUUCAACCAACCUCAGCUGAAAGAUGUUAAUGUUGGAAGGGAUAUAAC